UUAACUGAAACCAAAAAGAGGUAUAUUACUGUUAAUAAUAAAAAUGAAUAACUAAUUCCAGUUAAA
rnacentral:tRNA from 1 species